rnacentral:rRNA from 1 species
CUGCUCAGGACGAACGCUGCGGCGUGCUUAACACAUGCAAGUCGAGCGGUAAGGCUCUUUCGGGAGUACACGAGCGGCGAACGGGUGAGUAACACGUGAGCAAUCUGCCCUUCACUUUGGGAUAACCUCCGGAAACGGUGGCUAAUACCGAAUAUGACCACUUCACGCAUGUGAUGGUGGUGGAAAGUUCUGGCGGUGGAGGAUGAGCUCGCGGCCUAUCAGCUUGUUGGUGAGGUAAUGGCUCACCAAGGCUUCGACGGGUAGCCGGCCUGAGAGGGUGACCGGCCACACUGGGACUGAGACACGGCCCAGACUCCUACGGGAGGCAGCAGUGGGGAAUAUUGGACAAUGGGCGAAAGCCUGAUCCAGCAACGCCGCGUGAGGGAUGACGGCCUUCGGGUUGUAAACCUCUUUCAGCGGGGACGAAGCGAAAGUGACGGUACCCGCAGAAGAAGGACCGGCCAACUACGUGCCAGCAGCCGCGGUAAUACGUAGGGUCCGAGCGUUGUCCGGAAUUAUUGGGCGUAAAGGGCUCGUAGGCGGUUUGUCGCGUCGGGAGUGAAAACACGGGGCUUAACCCCGUGCCUGCUUCCGAUACGGGCAGACUAGAGGUAUGCAGGGGAGAACGGAAUUCCUGGUGUAGCGGUGAAAUGCGCAGAUAUCAGGAGGAACACCGGUGGCGAAGGCGGUUCUCUGAGCAUUACCUGACGCUGAGGAGCGAAAGUGUGGGGAGCGAACAGGAUUAGAUACCCUGGUAGUCCACACCGUAAACGUUGGGCGCUAGGUGUGGGGCUCAUUCCACGAGUUCCGUGCCGCAGCUAACGCAUUAAGCGCCCCGCCUGGGGAGUACGGCCGCAAGGCUAAAACUCAAAUGAAUUGACGG